UCUUGUUUUUUGCCAGCUGGCUUACAAGCGUCUGCCUUCCACUCUAGAAGUGGGUGUACUGGCAAAGGAAGGCUGAAUUCAUUUAUUACUGCCAAUUGUGUGUGAGUCUAACCAAGGAAAGAAAAAGUCUUGAUGAUACGGUGUGUGUGGGGUAAAAUCCCACUUUUUGCCAAACCACAGACAAAUGGAGAAUGGAAGGUAUUUUAAAUAACUAGCUGCAAGGGAUAUUCUUCAAAUGUAAAAGCUGCAUACAACUGAUACAAGCAUGUCACUCACCUGACUAAUAGUGCUCAUGGCCCUCAUGUAGCUUUCAUUGCGGGAGCGGAAUUUGGGAGAAGUAAGGAGACCUGCUGGAUCCAGGCUAUCCAAACUCCUAUUAAUUGAAACUUCACUCACUGCCCUCAAGUAACUGUGGCUCCGAAUCUGAAGCUUUGGAGAAUGUUCACUGGAUAUCCUUGAAGGGGAAAAGAAGAAAUGUCCUUCCAAUGGCAGACAAAACAAUUAAUAUUUAAAUACAGAUAUUCUCAGCUUUGACAAUCUACAAGAUUCUCUAAGAUAUAUGGACUAGUGUGAGGAGAAAGCAAUGGUG